CCUUUUCUUGCAGAUCCUGCAAAAAAAUCGCAGUCGGGGGAGCCCUACGGUGGCUGUGAGGGACCCGACGUUGAGCUCCGGGGCCACUUCGUCGAUCUGUUGAUGUUACUCUGACAACACAUAUAAUUCUCUCCGUGAUGCAUAUAUCUUCCCACAUAUUCUUGUCUUGAGGCAGAUUUUGGUAACCACCUGUAUUCACUAAUGCUAGCAGUAUAAAAACAAUCAUAAAUUUGAUACUUAUUAUUUGCUUCAUCUUUUUAAAUCUCACUGAUACACCUGUGUGGAUCAUGACAGGCAAGGAAGAAUGCUGCUAUAUUCGACAAGUAACAAGGAUGAAUGAUGAAUCAGAAAUCUCAACUCUUCCAUUUUUUGGAUGCAUUCUCCUGAAGGGAAUCGAUCUAUUUUGGUGUCAGUUUCAUAUGCUGCUGAAAGCACUAGGAGGACGUAGUGCUUGAACGAUAUUGUAUUCUAGUUACGCCCAUCUCUGUUGGAUGAUGGCAUGAAUAGAUUGGCGGUAGUCUACUCUAUGAUCUCAACGUGCUCCUGAAGCCUGAAUUCAUGAUGCAACAAAUUUAUUAUGAUUUUAUCAAGCAUUUUAUGUGUUUUUCUGAA